CUUGGACAUCAUCAUGACAUGCAUCUUACGACAUGUAUGCAGUACAUAAGGUUAUUCCUAAAGAAAUGAGAAAGAAGAAAUACGAAGAAAUACGAAGUUGGAUGGGAAGAGAAAAGGGAAGUUUGGAAAAUGGCAGCAAAAAGAAUCUGACCAAAAUUAUUAUGAAGUUUUUAAAAUCUACUAUGUAUCACGUCUAAAAAUUUUGUAAAUAUAUUGUAAUCUCA
rnacentral:lncRNA from 1 species